rnacentral:rRNA from 1 species
UACGAAGGGGGCUAGCGUUGUUCGGAAUUACUGGGCGUAAAGGGCUCGUAGGCGGCCAACUAAGUCAGACGUGAAAUCCCUCGGCUUAACCGGGGAACGGCAUCUGAUACUGGAUGGCUGGAGUUCGGGAGAGGGAUGCGGAAUUCCAGGUGUAGCGGUGAAAUGCGUAGAUAUCUGGAGGAACACCGGUGGCGAAGGCGGCAUCCUGGACCGACACUGACGCUGAGGAGCGAAAGCGUGGGGAGCGAACAGG